rnacentral:misc_RNA from 1 species
AGCCUUCUGGCGGUCUGUUCAUUUCAAUUUUUUAAGAGUUUUUAGGAACUUUUUUGAUUUUUGAUGUCAGAUUGUGCCGGGGAAGGUUUUUCCGGUUUAUCCCGGAGGGCUUGUAGCUCAGUUGGUUAGAGCGCGCGCUUGAUAAGCGUGAGGUCGGAGGUUCAAGUCCUCCCAGGCCCACCAUAUUGUCAUUGCUUAUCCAAUGCAUCAUAGCUCGUUCAGAUAGAGUAUUCUAUCUCAGACGGUCAUAUUUGGACAGGUUUUUACAGUUUUUAAACUUUUUUUGUUUUAGGGGCCGUAGCUCAGCUGGGAGAGCACCUGCUUUGCAAGCAGGGGGUCGUCGG